UGGUCUAAUACAGCUGAGUCUCCCGUCUCAGAGUAUAUGCGUUAUCUUCAAAGUUCAC
rnacentral:sRNA from 1 species